rnacentral:rRNA from 1 species
GUGUCAGCAGCCGCGGUAAUACGUAGGGGGCGAGCGUUGUCCGAAGUUACUGGGCGUAAAGCGCGCGUAGGCGGGCUAUUAAGUUGGAUGUGAAAUCUCCACGGCUUAACCGGGAAACCGCAUCCAAAACUGAUAGCCUUGAGGUAUGGAGAGGGAAGUGGAAUUCCUGGUGUAGCGGUGAAAUGCGUAGAUAUCAGGAGGAACACCCGUGGCGAAGGCGGCUUCCUGGCCAUAUCCUGACGCUGAGGUGCGAAAGCUAGGGGAGCGAACGGGAUUAGAUACCCCGGUAGUCCUAGCCGUAAACGAUGGAUACUAGGUGUAAGAGGUAUCGACCCCUCUUGUGCCGUAGCUAACGCAUUAAGUAUCCCGCCUGGGGAGUACGGCCGCAAGGUUGAA